UACAGAGGGGGCAAGCGUUGUUCGGAAUUACUGGGCGUAAAGGGCGCGUAGGCGGCCCUCUAAGUCAGACGUGAAAUCCCUCGGCUCAACCGGGGAACUGCGUCUGAGACUGGAAGGCUUGAAUUCGGGAGAGGGAGGUGGAAUUCCACGUGUAGCAGUGAAAUGCGUAGAGAUGUGGAGGAACACCGAUGGCGAAGGCAGCCUCCUGGGCCAGCACUGACGCUCAUGCACGAAAGCGUGGGGAGCAAACAGG
rnacentral:rRNA from 1 species